rnacentral:rRNA from 1 species
GAUGAACGCUGGCGGCGUGCCUAAUACAUGCAAGUCGAGCGAACGGACGAGAAGCUUGCUUCUCUGAUGUUAGCGGCGGACGGGUGAGUAACACGUGGAUAACCUACCUAUAAGACUGGGAUAACUUCGGGAAACCGGAGCUAAUCCCGGAUAAUCUUUUGAACCGCAUGGGUCAAAAGUGAAAGACGGUCUUGCUGUCACUUAUAGAUGGAUCCGCGCUGCAUUAGCUAGUUGGUAAGGUAACGGCUUACCAAGGCAACGAUGCAUAGCCGACGUGAGAGGGUGAUCGGCCACACUGGAACGGAGACACGGUCCAGACUCCUACGGGAGGCAGCAGUAGGGAAUCUUCCGCAAUGGGCGAAAGCCUGACGGAGCAACGCCGCGUGAGUGAUGAAGGUGUUCGGAUCGUAAAACUCUGUUAUUAGGGAAGAACAGAUGUGUAAGUAACUGUGCACAGCUUGACGGUACCUAAUCAGAAAGCCACGGCUAACUACGUG